ACGGGAGGCAGCAGUGGGGGAUAUUGCACAAUGGGGGAAACCCUGAUGCAGCGACGCCGCGUGAACGAAGAAGUAUUUCGGUAUGUAAAGUUCUAUCAGCAGGGAAGAUAAUGACGGUACCUGACUAAGAAGCACCGGCUAAAUACGUGCCAGCAGCCGCGGUAAUACGUAUGGUGCAAGCGUUAUCCGGAUUUACUGGGUGUAAAGGGAGCGCAGACGGCAUAGCAAGCCAGAUGUGAAAGGUGGGGGCUCAACCCCCAAACUGCAUUUGGAACUGUUAAGCUAGAGUGUCGGAGAGGUAAGUGGAAUUCCUAGUGUAGCGGUGAAAUGCGUAGAUAUUAGGAGGAACACCAGUGGCGAAGGCGGCUUACUGGACGAUAACUGACGUUGAGGCUCGAAAGCGUGGGGAGCAAACAGGAUUAGAUACCCUGGUA
rnacentral:rRNA from 1 species